rnacentral:rRNA from 1 species
CCUACGGGAGGCAGCAGUAAGGAAUAUUGGUCAAUGGGCGGAAGCCUGAACCAGCCAUGCCGCGUGCAGGAAGACGGCCUACGGGUUGUAAACUGCUUUUGUACCAGAAUAUGUAUGGUAAGAAUAAGGAUCGGCUAACUCCGUGCCAGCAGCCGCGGUAAUACGGAGGAUCCGAGCGUUAUCCGGAUUUAUUGGGUUUAAAGGGUGCGUAGGCGGCUUUUUAAGUCAGGGGUGAAAGACGGUAGCUUAACUAUCGCAGUGCCCUUGAUACUGAAGAGCUUGAAUGUACUAGAGGUAGGCGGAAUGUGACAAGUAGCGGUGAAAUGCAUAGAUAUGUCACAGAACACCAAUUGCGAAGGCAGCUUACUAUGUUGAUUGACGCUGAGGCACGAAAGCGUGGGGAUCAAACAGGAUUAGAUACCCUUGUAGUC